CAAGAAGACUCGGAUUUAGAAACAUGCUUAUUUUCAGAGAACAGCAUAGCAUAGAAAAUGAGAUGUGAAAUGAAACGAGAGAUAGGAUAAUUAAGUUGCACUCUACAUCGCAAUAGCGCUUACCAGCUGUGGUGAAUAACAUUUAUUCCAGGACUCACAUCAUUACAUCUGUUGCAUGCUGCUGGUGUCUGCACACGCAUAUGUGUUUUCUUUCUGGCCGCCAAGAACCUGUUCACGAUGGAAUUGACUAGACUGUGAAUGAAGCCAGACCUGAAGUGGACACAUUACUCACCUGUCCACUCACACAGGAUGACAAACAGACCUUGAUGGGGAAAGGUCACAGUCAUUAGAUGAGGCUGACUACUGUCCUGUGUGCAGAGAAGGACUGCAGAGUCUCUCCAGCUUACGCAAGUCUCUAUCCCAUGUGUGUGCUUUAGGAGAGAGAUGGAGGAUAUUGUCCAGCCAUGCAGUGGACCAUGUUUAGUGAAGGGCCUGAACCAGAAGAGAAGCAGAUUGAUUGCUCUGAUUUUUUCCUACUGCAAUCUCAUGGGCGGAAAGGUUUCAUCCUCCAUAUGAUGUAGCCAUAAUCUGUGACCUUCAUGCAGUUCAAGUGAUUUAUGACGGUGGACGGUUUCUCAGGUACCCCUCUGUUCAUCUUUAUGA